AAGUCGUAACAAGGUUUCCGUAGGUGAACCUGCGGAAGGAUCAUUAAAGAGUUAGGGUCCACCGGGCCCGACCUCCCACCCUCUGUCGUUGAAAAUACACUGUUGCUUUGGCGGCGUGGCACCCCCGCCCGCCAGAGACCAAAAACCAAACCCUUCUUGAACGUGUCAGUCUGAGUAACAAAGAAAAUAAAUUAAAACUUUCAACAACGGAUCUCUUGGUUCCG
rnacentral:misc_RNA from 1 species